UGGGGAAUCUUGGACAAUGGGCGCAAGCCUGAUCCAGCCAUGCCGCGUGGAUGAUGAAGGCCCUAGGGUUGUAAAAUCCUUUCGUUGGGGACGAUAAUGACGGUACCCAAAGAAGAAGCUCCGGCUAACUUCGUGCCAGCAGCCGCGGUAAUACGAAGGGGGCUAGCGUUGUUCGGAUUUACUGGGCGUAAAGCGCGUGUAGGCGGGUCGUUAAGUUGGGGGUGAAAUCCCGAGGCUCAACCUCGGAACUGCCUUCAAAACUGGCGACCUGGACUCAAGCAGAGGCAAGUGGAAUUGCGAGUGUAGAGGUGAAAUUCGUAGAUAUUCGCAGGAACACCAGUGGCGAAGGCGACUUGCUGGGCUUGUAGUGACGCUGAGACGCGAAAGCGUGGGGAGCAAACAGGAUUAGAAACCCUGGUAG
rnacentral:rRNA from 1 species